rnacentral:ncRNA from 2 species
AGUCGGGAUGGCGGUGGAGUCCGCCGACAACCGUCGUCGCUUCCGCGACGGCCAAUGACUCCUACGAGCAG